UACAGAGGUCUCAAGCGUUGUUCGGAUUCAUUGGGCGUAAAGGGUGUGUAGGUGGCGCGCUAAGUCGGGUGUGAAAUUUCGGAGCUUAACUCCGAAACUGCAUUCGAUACUGGCGUGCUUGAGGACUGGAGAGGAGACUGGAAUUCAUGGUGUAGCAGUGAAAUGCGCAGAUAUCGGGAAGAACACCCGUGGCGAAGGCGGCAUCCUGGACCAACACUGACGCUGAGGAGCGAAAGCCAGGGGAGCAAACGGG
rnacentral:rRNA from 1 species